GAUAAUCAUGGUAGUGAGUUAUCUCGAUUGUUCACAGUUACAGAUUGAACUCUUUUCUACUCUUUCCCCAUUCUCACUACUGCAGUGGACUAGUCUUAA
rnacentral:Y_RNA from 1 species